rnacentral:rRNA from 1 species
GGUUAAAACUCAAAUGAAUUGACGGGGGCCCGCACAAGCGGUGGAGCAUGUGGUUUAAUUCGAUGCAACGCGAAGAACCUUACCUGGUCUUGACAUCCACAGAACUUUCCAGAGAUGGAUUGGUGCCUUCGGGAACUGUGAGACAGGUGCUGCAUGGCUGUCGUCAGCUCGUGUUGUGAAAUGUUGGGUUAAGUCCCGCAACGAGCGCAACCCUUAUCCUUUGUUGCCAGCGGUUAGGCCGGGAACUCAAAGGAGACUGCCAGUGAUAAACUGGAGGAAGGUGGGGAUGACGUCAAGUCAUCAUGGCCCUUACGACCAGGGCUACACACGUGCUACAAUGGCGCAUACAAAGAGAAGCGACCUCGCGAGAGCAAGCGGACCUCAUAAAGUGCGUCGUAGUCCGGAU